GAUGAAGAACGUAGCGAAAUGCGAUACGUAAUGUGAAUUGCAGAAUUCAGUGAAUCAUCGAGUCUUUGAACGCACAUUGCGCCCCCUGGUAUUCCGGGCGGCAUGCCUGUCCGAGCGUCAUUGCUGCCCUCAAGCACGGCUUGUGUGUUGGGCCUCCGUCCUCCUCCCGGGGGACGGGCCCGAAAGGCAGCGGCGGCACCGCGUCCGGUCCUCGAGCGUAUGGGGCUUCGUCACCCGCUCUUGUAGGCCCGGCCGGCGCUUGCCGACACAUCAAUCUUUUUUCCAGGUUGACCUCGGAUCAGGUAGGGAUACCCGCUGAACUUAAGCAUAUCAAAAGCGGAGGA
rnacentral:misc_RNA from 1 species